rnacentral:rRNA from 1 species
GUCCACGCCUUAAACGAUGAGAACUAGACGUUGAGAGGGUUAGCCUCCCAGUGUCGCAGCUAACGCGCUAAGUUCUCCGCCUGGGGAGUACGGCCGCAAGGUUGAAACUCAAAGGAAUUGACGGGGACCCCGCACAAGCGGUGGAGCAUGUGGUUUAAUUCGAUGCAACGCGAAGAACCUUACCUGGCCUUGACAUCCACGGAAUUCUGCAGAGAUGCGGAAGUGCCUUCGGGAACCGUGAGACAGGUGCUGCAUGGCUGUCGU